rnacentral:rRNA from 1 species
AUACGGAGGGUGCAAGCGUUAUCCGGAUUUACUGGGUUUAAAGGGUCCGCAGGUGGGGAGGUAAGUCAGUGGUGAAAUACCCGGGCUCAACUUGGGUGCUGCCAUUGAUACUGCUUUUCUUGAGUGUAGAUGAGGUGGGCGGAAUACAGCAUGUAGCGGUGAAAUGCGUAGAUAUGCUGUAGAACACCGAUUGCGAAGGCAGCUCACUAAACUACUACUGACACUCAGGGACGAAAGCGUGGGGAUCAAACAGGAUUAGAUACCCUGGUAGUCCACGCCCUAAACUAUGCUCACUCGACAUUUGCCAAUGGUGUAAGUGUCUUAGCGAAAGCGUUAAGUGAGCCACCUGGGGAGUACGCCGGCAACGGUGAA